UGACUAUGUAUGUUGCUAUACACAACUUGAAAAAUUAUAGAACAAUAUAAUUCAAAUUAUUAUCUAAUUUUUGUAUCAAUUUCGGUUAUUAAAAUAUUUUGUUUUCAUAUUUAAUAAAAAGAUUGUAAACAAAGCACUGUCGAAAAAUACAGAGGUUACAAACUGAGGUGCUGAUAAAAUUAUUGCCUAAGAAAAUUUUUUUCCUAAAUCCAGUUUUAGAAGUAUCUAUGCACAUUUUAUUAAACUUAUCAAAUUGAAUGCUUUAUUUUAAAUAUUUUGAUGUUCUUCUUUCCCAGUGAAUAAAUUCUAAAUAAACUGUGUAUAUUUAUGGGUACCUAGACACAUCACCAUGAAAAUUGUAAAAUGUAAUAUCAUAGAUUUCUUCUCCCUCACCUAUUUUUCAUUUUAUUGGUCACAUUGGUCCUAAAAGGCAACUAAAAUCAGUCUUCCACUUCAUCUACAUAUACCCAAGCAGUCCUCACAUCACUCACAAUUAUUGUACCAAACAAUCAAUUUCAAUCUUCUUUUUCUACUCUUUCCAUUUAUUUCACAUUUUGUAAUAUCAUGGAUAAAAUGUCUACAUGACAUCAUUAUAUUAUUAUUACUUCAAGAUGAUCAUCUAGAUGAUCAACUUAAGUUUUUGAGUAAUGAAAAAAAAUAUCAAAAUAAAGUUAAACAUCUUAUAUAUGAAUAGAAAAGAAGAAAAUUUUAAUUUAUG